rnacentral:misc_RNA from 1 species
AAGUCGUAACAAGGUUUCCGUAGGUGAACCUGCGGAAGGAUCAUUAUUGAAUAAACUUGGUUGGGUUGUUGCUGGCUCUUAGGAGCAUGUGCACGCCUAAUCCAUCUUUAACCACCUGUGCACCUUGUGUAGACUUGAACAACUUUCGAGACAAUGUACUCGGUUUGAGAAUUGCUGUUGUGAAAGCUCAGCUUUUCUUGUGUUCAGGUCUAUGUUUUAUAUUACACUCCAUAAGAAUGUAUUAGAACAAAUGAAUAGGCCAUUGUGCCUUUAAACACAAAUACAACUUUCAACAACGGAUCUCUUGGCUCUC